AUAUGUAUACUCGCGUUAACCAGUCGUGGAUGGUUCGGAAUCAGGAACUGUUCCAUCGCGUGGGUGCUUUACUGUUGGCCAGGAUUCCGAGGGAACUUUCAUAGAGAUUAAUACCGAAGGAAUCGAAUAACGGUGAAUAUUUGAUGUUUUUUAAGCCAAUUGGACUCUCCCGACAACACACAUGGAAGUUGGACUUUCUGAAAAUGAUUACGGAGUUCAAUCGUGAUUACGAUGACAUUACCAGCAAGAAUAGCGUAUUGGCGAAGGACGUACUGGAUUGAUCUUCCUAUGUCAGUAAGGAUCGAAUCGUGCUCGGGUGGAAUUGUUAUUUCCGGUGCACAGUCUACGUCUGCAGGAUUUCAGCUACUUAUCCAAAUUCCUCACGGCAAAUAGAACCGUUGUUCCGGCGAGUGGGAAAACAUACAGUCAGAUACGGAUAGCACAUAUUCGGAAAUCCGUCAAUACGCAGACUCGUUCCAAAGGCAGCCACCGUAGACUUUUUAUUUUGCCCCGGCGAACAAAAAACAUUUUUGAAUUUCUCUUUUUAAAUCGCUUGUAUUGCAAUCAUGAUAUUUGGAUGUUUAAAUAAAGAUUUAUUUCAAGA